rnacentral:rRNA from 1 species
GAUGAACGCUGGCGGCGUGCCUAAUACAUGCAAGUCGAGCGAACGGACGAGAAGCUUGCUUCUCUGAUGUUAGCGGCGGACGGGUGAGUAACACGUGGAUAACCUACCUAUAAGACUGGGAUAACUUCGGGAAACCGGAGCUAAUACCGGAUGAUAUUUUGAACCGCAUGGUUCAAAAGUGAAAGACGGUCUUGCUGUCACUUAUAGAUGGAUCCGCGCUGCAUUAGCUAGUUGGUAAGGUAACGGCUUACCAAGGCAACGAUGCAUAGCCGACCUGAGAGGGUGAUCGGCAGCACUAGAGAGUAGACCGCGACCAGAGAACGACGGGCGGCAGCAGUAGGGAAUUGUCAGCAAGGGGCGCAAGCCUGACGUAGCAACGCCGCGGGAAUAAUGAAGGUCUUAGGAUCGGAAAACUCUUUUAUGAGAGAAAAACAUAUGUGCAAGUAACUGUGCACAUCUGGACGGUACUUAAUCAGAAAACCACGGCUAACUACGUG